rnacentral:rRNA from 1 species
CCUACGGGGGGCUGCAGUGGGGAAUAUUGGACAAUGGGGGCAACCCUGAUCCAGCCAUGCCGCGUGUGUGAAGAAGGCCCUCGGGUUGUAAAGCACUUUCAGUGAGGAAGAACGCCUGGUGGUUAAUACCCAUCAGGAAAGACAUCACUCACAGAAGAAGCACCGGCUAACUCCGUGCCAGCAGCCGCGGUAAUACGGAGGGUGCGAGCGUUAAUCGGAAUUACUGGGCGUAAAGCGCGCGUAGGUGGCUUGAUAAGCCGGUUGUGAAAGCCCCGGGCUCAACCUGGGAACGGCAUCCGGAACUGUCCAGCUAGAGUGCAGGAGAGGAAGGUAGAAUUCCCGGUGUAGCGGUGAAAUGCGUAGAGAUCGGGAGGAAUACCAGUGGCGAAGGCGGCCUUCUGGACUGACACUGACACUGAGGUGCGAAAGCGUGGGUAGCAAACAGGAUUAGAUACCCUGGUAGUC